rnacentral:rRNA from 1 species
CCUACGGGGGGCAGCAGUGGGGAAUAUUGGACAAUGGGGGGAACCCUGAUCCAGCCAUGCCGCGUGUGUGAAGAAGGCCCUCGGGUUGUAAAGCACUUUCAGUGAGGAAGAACGCCUGGUGGUUAAUACCCAUCAGGAAAGACAUCACUCACAGAAGAAGCACCGGCUAACUCCGUGCCAGCAGCCGCGGUAAUACGGAGGGUGCGAGCGUUAAUCGGAAUUACUGGGCGUAAAGCGCGCGUAGGUGGCUUGAUAAGCCGGUUGUGCAAGCCCCGGGCUCAACCUGGGAACGGCAUCCGGAACUGUCAAGCUAGAGUGCAGGAGAGGAAGGUAGAAUUCCCGGUGUAGCGGUGAAAUGCGUAGAGAUCGGGAGGAAUACCAGUGGCGAAGGCGGCCUUCUGGACUGACACUGACACUGAGGUGCGAAAGCGUGGGUAGCAAACAGGAUUAGAUACCCCAGUAGUC